GAUGAACGCUGGCGGCGUGCCUAAUACAUGCAAGUCGAACGAACAGACGAGGAGCUUGCUCCUCUGACGUUAGCGGCGGACGGGUGAGUAACACGUGGAUAACCUACCUAUCAGACUGGGAUAACCUCGGGACACCGGAGCUAAUACCGUAUAAUAUAUUGAACCGCAUGGGUCAAUAGUGAGAGACGGUUUUUCUGUAACUACUAGAUGGAUCCGCGCCGCAUUAGCUAGUUGUUAAGGUAACGGGUUACUAAGGCAACGAUGCGUAGCCGACCUGAGAGGGGGAUCGGCCACACUGGAACUGAGACACGGUCCAGGCUCCUACGGGAGGCAGCAGUAGGGAAUCUUCCGCAAUGGGCGAAAGCCUGACGGAGCAACGCCGAGUGAGUGAUGAAGGUCUUCGGAUCGGAAAACUCUGUUAUUAGGGAAGAACAAAUGUGUAAGUAACUAUGCACGUCUUGACGGUAACUAAUCAGAAAGCCACGGCUAACUACGUG
rnacentral:rRNA from 1 species